CCUACGGGAGGCAGCAGUGAGGAAUAUUGGUCAAUGGACGCGAGUCUGAACCAGCCAAGUCGCGUGAAGGAUGACUGUCCUAUUGGUUGUAAACUUCUUUUAUAAAGGAAUAAAACGAGGCACGCGUGCCUUUUCGCAUGUACUUUAUGAAUAAGCAUCGGCUAACUCCGUGCCAGCAGCCGCGGUAAUACGGCGGAUCCGAGCGUUAUCCGGAUUUAUUGGGUUUAAAGGGAGCGUAGGUGGGUUGUUAAGUCAGUUGUGAAAGUUUGCGGCUCAACCGUAAAAUUGCAAUUGAUACUGGCAGUCUUGAGUACAGUUGAGGUAGGCGGAAUUCGUGGUGUAGCGGUGAAAUGCUUAGAUAUCACGAAGAACCCCGAUUGCGAAGGCAGCUUACUAACCUGUGACUGACAUUGAUGCACGAAAGUGUGGGUAUCAAACAGGAUUAGAUACCCGAGUAGUC
rnacentral:rRNA from 1 species